rnacentral:rRNA from 1 species
GUGCCAGCCGCCGCGGUAAUACCGGCAGCCCGAGUGAUGGCCGAUGUUAUUGGGCCUAAAGCGUCCGUAGCUGGCCAUGCAAGUCCACUGGGAAAUCCACCCGCUCAACGGGUGGGCGUCCAGCGGAAACUGUCCGGCUUGGGGCCGGACGACCCGAGGGGUACGUCCGGGGUAGGAGUGAAAUCCUGUAAUCCUGGACGGACCGCCGGUGGCGAAAGCGCCUCGGGAGGACGGACCCGACGGUGAGGGACGAAAGCCAGGGUCUCGAACCGGAUUAGAUACCCCAGUAGUCC